AGAACGAACGCUGGCGGCGUGGAUAAGACAUGCAAGUCGAGCGCUGAUUAAAGGGUAGCAAUAUCUUUUAAUUGGAGCGGCGCAAGGGUGCGUAACACGUGGGUAAUUUGCCAUGAAGUUGGGGAUAACUUGCUGAAAGGCGAGCUAAUACCGAAUGUGGCCCGACGGAGACAUCUCUGUUUGGCUAAAGCUGGGGACCGCAAGGCCUGACGCUUCAUGAUAAACCCGCGGCCUAUCAGCUAGUUGGUGAGGUAACGGCCCACCAAGGCUAAGACGGGUAGCUGGUCUGAGAGGACGACCAGCCACACUGGAACUGAGAGACGGUCCAGACACCUACGGGUGGCAGCAGUCGAGAAUUUUUUCACAA
rnacentral:rRNA from 1 species